UGACACCAAUGUUUGCGAUUAUUGCAUCGUGCACAGUUUCUCAAAGGGUCUCUGAUCGUAGUGUCGCAUUAGCAGCAUCCUGCAGUAGUGAAGUAUCAUUAGUUUGGAAGUCCUACUUGAUUAGGGAAGGGUGCAGAUGACACUCUUAAUCCAUCCUAGUGAGGCUACAAUAUCCAAGAAAAAGAAAACCAGGGGCAGAAUGGAAGCAGUAAUUCCUUGAAAGAUCACAAUAUAGUACAGAGGUGAAAUAGAAUAACAUAGAAAUUGCGAUAAAGUUUAAUGACAUAUAAAUGGUAUGUGUCUUACCCUUAUUUGCUUGUGAUUAACACCACAACUUAAUAUUUUUUAGAAUGAUGCCAAACACAAGAUGUUUGUUAGAAUGCAUAUUGAAUAACAUAAACUGAAUUUCAACUUGGACCCUCCGAUAUUAACACAUACAAUAUUUUUCAACUUGCAAUAUAACUGUACCAAACCACAAGUAUUUUUCAAUUUGGAUAUACAGGGGACCAAAAAGCGUAACUAAAACUGCAACAAUGGUAUGACAACUACCACGACCAAAAAGGGAGCGCGCCCAUGCUCAUGUUUAAAUCGGAAAGAGAGAAAGAACAAAAAAAAUGGGCCUAUAACAAAGAGGGAAAAUAAGAGAGAGGGGAGAGGGGGAAGGGACCUUCCAUGGCAUCAGCUCUGGCCGGGGAGGCCGGGGCAGACAGGCGGAUCAUGAGAAGGAGGCUCCUCUCUACCGGUGGAGUAGGAGCAGACCUCGAGAACCCUUCCUUAAUUCCUUUUGUUGUCGGUGUCAUCCCGGUCGCUGACCGCCAUACCUCGUGUACAGAUGAGACAUAAUUUAAAUCUCCUAGCAUAGAAAUGCAUCGGGUUCAAUCUCCUUGAAUGAGGAAAAGUACAUAUGUUAUAGUAUGCAGCAGCCUUGAUAGCUAUCUUCCCUUGUGUAGAAAAAAUAAAUUCUGCCAUCUUCCCACAAAACAUAAAUUGCAAUCCUACAGUUUCAACAUGUGCGUCAACAUUAAUGUUUGACUUAACCAAGUAAGUAGCAGAAGCUCGUAAGACAUUUUUUUAUGUAGAGAGACCAACAUCAAUAUCAUUUAUGGGUAGUUACAAAUAAAAUGGUUGUAAGCCAUGCUUGCUGCUCAAAACUUGUGAAUUUUGCUUUCUAUGAUUUAGCAAGAAACAUUCAAAUUAACUUACCUGACCAUGGAUCAAGUAUCUAAAACUAUUUCUUUAAGGGAAACAUCUAAACCGUUGCUCAGGCAAAGAAAUAAUCCAUGCAAACUAAAGGGAAAUAAAUAAGGUCAUAUUCUGAAAGAAGUGGUACACAAGACAAGACAAAUAUUAUAUAUUAAACAUAGAAGAUUUUUCUGGUAUCAAGGGUGGAGGAGAAUAUUAGACUUAUUUGAUGAAGCUUUAGAGAGGGAGUGGACCAUCAAUUUUUCAUCGCCAAUAUAUCAAAUACAGUUUGGAGGCUUUCCCAAAACAUUGGUUAUCAUGUUGUGAACAAAGGAAGCACAAACUAAGGUAGAGAACAAAGAAGAAUAGAGAUGCUACCUGCAGGCUGCGGCAG
rnacentral:lncRNA from 1 species